rnacentral:tRNA from 1 species
GCACGUGUGGCGGAAUUGGUAGACGCACUAGACUUAGGAUCUAGCGCCUUCGGGCGUGGGGGUUCGACUCCCUCCACGUGCA